GUGAACGCUGGCGGUAGGCCUAACACAUGCAAGUCGAACGGCAGCACAGUAAGCGCUUGCUCUUACGGGUGGCGAGUGGCGGACGGGUAAGGAAUACAUCGGAAUCUACUUUUUCGUGGGGGAUAACGUAGGGAAACUUACGCUAAUACCGCAUACGACCUACGGGUGAAAGCAGGGGAUCUUCGGACCUUGCGCGAUUGAAUGAGCCGAUGUCGGAUUAGCUAGUUGGCGGGGUAAAGGCCCACCAAGGCGACGAUCCGUAGCUGGUCUGAGAGGAUGAUCAGCCACACUGGAACUGAGACACGGUCCAGACUCCUACGGGAGGCAGAAGUGGGGAAUAUUGGACAAUGGGCGCAAGCCUGAUCCAGCCAUACCGCGUGGGUGAAGAAGGCCUUCGGGUUGUAAAGCCCUUUUGUUGGGAAAGAAAAGCAGCAGGUUAAUACCCCGCUGUUCUGACGGUACCCAAAGAAUAAGCACCGGCUAACUUCGUG
rnacentral:rRNA from 1 species